ACUGACGGAGCAACGCCGCGUGAACGAUGAAGGCCUUCGGGUCGUAAAGUUCUGUUGUUAGGGAAGAACAAGUACCGGAGUAACUGCCGGUACCUUGACGGUACCUAACCAGAAAGCCACGGCUAACUACGUGCCAGCAGCCGCGGUAAUACGUAGGUGGCAAGCGUUGUCCGGAAUUAUUGGGCGUAAAGCGCGCGCAGGCGGUCCUUUAAGUCUGAUGUGAAAGCCCACGGCUCAACCGUGGAGGGUCAUUGGAAACUGGGGGACUUGAGUACUGAAGAGGAAAGUGGAAUUCCACGUGUAGCGGUGAAAUGCGUAGAGAUGUGGAGGAACACCAGUGGCGAAGGCGACUUUCUGGUCAGUAACUGACGCUGAGGCGCGAAAGCGUGGGGAGCAAACAGGAUUAGAUACCCUGGUAGUCAACGCCGUAAACGAUGAGUGCUAAGUGUUAGAGGGUUUCCGCCCUUUAGUGCUGCAGCUAACGCAUUAAGCACUCCGCCUGGGGAGUACGGCCGCAAGGCUG
rnacentral:rRNA from 1 species